GGUGCUUGCUCGUGAUUGAUUUGAGCGACCGACGAAUGGCGGACGGGUGAGUAACUCGUAUGUAAUCUGCCGAGAGACGGCGGACGACAUCUGAAGCCAGAUGCUCAUACCGCAUAACACCGCUUGUCGCAUGAACGACGCUUAGCAUAUGCCUUCUCGCUAUCACUGGACGGAUGGACCUGCGGCGCAUUAGCUUAGGUGGUGGGGUACCGGCGUACCGAUGCGAAGAUGCAUAGCCGAGUUGAUAGACUGAUUGGCCACAAGUGGACACUGACACACGGCCCAUACUCCUACGGGAGGCAGCAUUAUGGAAUCUGGCACCAUGGGCGCAGGCCUGAUGCAGCAACACCGCGUGAGUGAAUAAGGGUUUAGGCUUGUGAAGCUGUGUAGUAAUGGAAGAACACGUAUGAGAGUAACUGUUGAUACGUUGACGGUAUUUAACCACAAAGUCACGGCUACCUACGUGCCAGCAACCGCGGUAAUACGUAGGUGGCAAGCGUUAUACGGAUCUAUUGGGCGUAGCGAGAGUGCAGGCGGUUUUGUAGGUAUGACGUGAAAGCCAUCGGCUUAACCGCAUAAGU
rnacentral:rRNA from 2 species